UACGAAGGGGGCUAGCGUUGCUCGGAAUCACUGGGCGUAAAGGGUGCGUAGGUGGGUCUUUAAGUCAGGGGUGAAAUCCUGGAGCUCAACUCCAGAACUGCCUUUGAUACUGAAGAUCUUGAGUUCGGGAGAGGUGAGUGGAACUGCGAGUGUAGAGGUGAAAUUCGUAGAUAUUCGCAAGAACACCAGUGGCGAAGGCGGCUCACUGGCCCGAUACUGACGCUGAUGCACGAAAGCGUGGGGAGCAAACAGG
rnacentral:rRNA from 1 species